AUAGCGUAUAUUAAAGUUGCUGCGGUUAAAAAGCUCGUAGUUGAAUUUCGGAAUUGAUGCAUCGGUCGUGCCUUAAGGGGCAUGAACUGGUGUAGCCAAUUUCUCACCUUCUGGUGAAUUGUUGAUGUUCUUAAUGGGUGUCUCAAUGAACUAGAAUUUUUUACUUUGAAAAAAUUAGAGUGUUUAAAGCAGGCAUUGAUUUGCUUGAAUACAUUAGCAUGGAAUAAUGAAAUAGGACAGUGGUUCCGUUUUGUUGGUUUCUAGGAUCACGUAAUGAUUAAUAGGGACAGUUGGGGGCAUUAGUAUUCAAUUGUCAGAGGUGAAAUUCUUGGAUUUAUUGAAGACUAACUAUUG
rnacentral:rRNA from 1 species